rnacentral:rRNA from 1 species
AGCAGUCUGAUGGAGCACGCCGCGUGAGUGAAGAAGGGUUUCGGCUCGUAAAGCUCUGUUGGUAGUGAAGAAAGAUAGAGGUAGUAACUGGCCUUUAUUUGACGGUAAUUACUUAGAAAGUCACGGCUAACUACGUGCCAGCAGCCGCGGUAAUACGUAGGUGGCAAGCGUUGUCCGGAUUUAUUGGGCGUAAAGCGAGUGCAGGCGGUUCAAUAAGUCUGAUGUGAAAGCCUUCGGCUCAACCGGAGAAUUGCAUCAUAAACUGUUGAACUUGAGUGCAGAAGAGGAGAGUGGAACUCCAUGUGUAGCGGUGGAAUGCGUAGAUAUAUGGAAGAACACCAGUGGCGAAGGCGGCUCUCUGGUCUGCAACUGACGCUGAGGCUCGAAAGCAUGGGUAGCGAACAGGAUUAGAUACC